rnacentral:rRNA from 1 species
AAUUUUCUAAUAAAAAAAAAAUAUUUUUGUUGAAAUUAUAAUUUUGUUGAAAAUAACAAUAGAAGUUCUAAGACAAAAAGACCCUAGAAUUUUU